rnacentral:rRNA from 1 species
UACGUAGGCAGCAAGCGUUGUUCGGAGUUACUGGGCGUAAAGGGUGUGUAGGCGGUUGUUUAAGUUUGGUGUGAAAUCUCCCGGCUCAACUGGGAGGGUGCGCCGAAUACUGAAUGACUCGAGUGCGGGAGAGGAAAGUGGAAUUCCUGGUGUAGCGGUGAAAUGCGCAGAUAUCAGGAGGAACACCGGUGGCGAAGGCGGGUCUCUGGGCAAUAACUGACGCUGAGGAGCGAAAGCGUGGGGAGCGAACAGG